rnacentral:rRNA from 1 species
UACGAAGGGGGCUAGCGUUGUUCGGAAUGACUGGGCGUAAAGGGCGCGUAGGCGGCGGACUAAGUCAGGCGUGAAAGCCCUGGGCUUAACCUGGGAAUUGCGUUUGAUACUGGUUUGCUUGAGUGCGGGAGAGGAUGGUGGAAUUCCCAGUGUAGAGGUGAAAUUCGUAGAUAUUCGGAAGAACACCAGUGGCGAAGGCGACUUACUGGACACAUAUUGACGCUGAGGUGCGAAAGCGUGGGGAGCAAACAGG